GGCUCGGUGGUGGAUGGUCCACAUCUGCAUGUUGUACAUUGUGGUCAACGAAAACAGUUUCAGUAUAAGUAGCCCGUUCGAUUCGGGCCCGAGCCA